CCUACGGGAGGCAGCAGUGGGGAAUAUUGGACAAUGGGCGCAAGCCUGAUCCAGCCAUACCGCGUGUGUGAAGAAGGCCUUUUGGUUGUAAAGCACUUUAAGCGAGGAGGAGGCUCUUGAGGAUAAUACCCUUGAUGAGUGGACGUUACUCGCAGAAUAAGCACCGGCUAACUCUGUGCCAGCAGCCGCGGUAAUACAGAGGGUGCGAGCGUUAAUCGGAAUUACUGGGCGUAAAGCGCGCGUAGGCGGCUUGUUAAGUCGGAUGUGAAAUCCCCGGGCUCAACCUGGGCACUGCAUUCGAUACUGGCAAGCUAGAGUAUGGGAGAGGAAGGUAGAAUUCCAGGUGUAGCGGUGAAAUGCGUAGAGAUCUGGAGGAAUACCGAUGGCGAAGGCAGCCUUCUGGCCUAAUACUGACGCUGAGGUGCGAAAGCAUGGGGAGCAAACAGGAUUAGAUACCCUGGUAGUCCAUGCCGUAAACGAUGUCAACUAGCCGUUGGGGACCUUGAGUCUUUAGUGGCGCAGCUAACGCGAUAAGUUGACCGCCUGGGGAAGUCGGUCGCAAGACUAAAAUCAAAAGGAUUGACGGNNGAGAGNGCGAGGACGACGACGAGGGAGGAGG
rnacentral:rRNA from 1 species